rnacentral:rRNA from 1 species
CUGUUCAUCCCUUGACGGUAUCUAACCAGAAAGCCACGGCUAACUACGUGCCAGCAGCCGCGGUAAUACGUAGGUGGCAAGCGUUGUCCGGAUUUAUUGGGCGUAAAGCGAGCGCAGGCGGUUUCUUAAGUCUGAUGUGAAAGCCCUCGGCUCAACCGAGGAAGGUCAUUGGAAACUGGGGAACUUGAGUGCAGAAGAGGAGAGUGGAAUUCCAUGUGUAGCGGUGAAAUGCGUAGAUAUAUGGAGGAACACCAGUGGCGAAGGCGACUCUCUGGUCUGUAACUGACGCUGAGGCUCGAAAGCGUGGGGAGCAAACAGGAUUAGAUACCCUGGUAGUCCACGCCGUAAACGAUGAGUGCUAAGUGUUGGAGGGUUUCCGCCCUUCAGUGCUGCAGUUAACGCAUUAAGCACUCCACCUGGGGAGUACGGCCGCAAGGCUG